CGGACUCACCCGCCCCGGGGCCGCCCGAGGCUCCACACGCGCGACGACGCCGGAAACGGGCCCCGAACGCCCGCGCCCACUCUGUCCCGGAGACUUCCGGCCGCUCUGGGCGGUUCGGAGGCUCGGGCGACUCGGUGGUUCCCAGCCCAGCAGCCCGGUGGGCAGGCGGCGGGGCCAGAUCGUCCGGGAAAAGACGCGUCUGGGGAGUGAGGCGGCGGAGCCGGGGCUGGUGCGUGGUUUCUCUCCUCCCAGGACGGGGAGGAGCGGAUCCCGGUGGAGCGAAAGAGAGCCUGAGGGUCGCCCGGGCCGGUCCCGCGCACCUCGGGUCACCAGUCCCGGGAUCUGUGUCCGGGCUUCUCUGUAGCUGAAUGCAACCGCUGGGCACGUUCCAGGCCCCAGGACUACGGAGACGCCCCUAUCCAGGCCUUGCCUCGGGUGGAGGGUGUCCGGGGGGAGCAGCCAGCUGGCGGCGCAGAGAAGCUGUGUGGAAAGAUCAGGUGUUCUGAGCCUGGUGGAGCAAGUGGUCCAGGCCGAGGGCACCGCAGAGUUGGGACAGGGCACCGACAGGCCAGAGAUGAGGCUAGGAGGGCCCUCAGGAAGGUUGUGGACCACCGAGAGACGGAGAAGCCCAGGGGAGGGUCGUCACCCGGGACGCCAGGCUGGGGUCCCUGGCUGCGUCCCAGGGUCGCGGGGUUCGGGGAGCAGGACAGCCCAGAACCUGCCGAGAGACCGGGUGGGAUGGGACCCCAAGCGAAGGGCGGCGCGCCCCGAAGUCAGGUCAGGGCUUCUCUUCGCUGCGACCCCAACCAUCCCCAGCUUCGUGUGGACCCCGGGGCAAUCUGUUCUGCGUGUUCUCCCAGAUCCAGGCUCUACCCUGUCUGUGGGGGCAGGCUCACCCCGAGUUCCUUGGGACCCGGGAGGAGCCUCCCCAUCAGGGGCCAGGCCAAAGCACCGCAAAAGCCUUGGGUAGGACGCUGCCUUCGUCUUUGGGGGCCUCAGCUUCCACGUGCGGCUCCGGUCCUGGGAGGUCUUCACCUGAGGGUUUGCUCUGUGCCUGGCUGACCCGCAGUUCACACCCUGCAACCCUGAAGGUGGGAAGGGCGGGGCACAGAGUGCGCAGAUCUCUUCGCGGGGAGGACCCUGACACCCGACUCCUAACGAUCCAAAUCCCGGGGUCGCUCAGAGCCACGGAGAAAUCGGGCAGAAGCCAAAGGAAGGAAGUGGGCGGGGUCGGCUCCCCGACAGCCUCCUACCAGAGGUCGAGGCCGAAGGGAAAAACAAAUGCGCUCGGAGGAACCAGCUCCUCUCCCUGAGCCUCUGUGCCCCGUGGUCCCGGCGCCCCCACCCGACGCCCCCGCGUCUCGAUCCCAACUCUCCCAUUCUCACUUCCUCCCUGGUUAUGCUCAGAAAGCAUCUGUGCAAAGGAUGAUUAAACAAGUGAAUGGAGAAUGGGGAAAGACAGGGAAUACGCCUGCUUCCCAGGCGCCCUCCAGGUCCUGCCCCCAAACAAGUGCAUCCAGGAAUGACCCUGGUACACUGAGCACACUGGUGGUCCCGACCUACCGGGAGCCUUCCAGCUGGAAGAUCUUCACACAGCACCACCCAGACUUGGAGAUCCUGGCAAGCCUGAAGUGCUCAAGGAAUGCCUUUUGGAUCUAGCCUUGCUUGGCUCAGAAGCUGGCAGGCAGAACCAGGAGACCCCAGAACCCUGAACAGAAGCAGAAAUUCCCUGAGCCCCCAGGGAAAUGUCACCUGAGGAGGUCAGGGGCUCGGAAUCCUGAGAGCUAAAUGAAUGAAGAGCUGAAGGUUUUUCUCACCUGGACCCGAGUCUUUCAAAGCAGAGCCUGUGAUAUGCCAUCUCUCUCCUGUGCUCAACAAAGACCACACGUGCUGAACAGAAGCUUGUUUGAAAGACUAACUAACCUCUGGGCCAGCAAACUUAUUUUUCUUUAAAGGGAAAUAAAAGCUGAAAAACAGGAUUUCCAGAAACAAAACACUUUCCUUCACUCAGAACGGGGAUUCAAGCUUAAUCAGGAUGGAAUCCAAAUAUGGAAAAAAAUAUGGCUGAAGAGUGAUUCAGAGAUGCACAUUUCACAAAAUUCACUUUCCUAGAUUGUCACUAGUAUUUUUAGGUUCUUUUCCAAGAGGAAAGCUGCUUCCUGUUAGUACCCAUUUGGAUACUGCAAGUUAAAAGUCAGGGCUCAUACCCAUCAGGAUGGCUACUAUCAUAAAAACAGAAAACAACAAGUGCUGGCAAUGAUGUGGAGAAGUUGGAACCCUUGUACACUGCUAGUGGGAAUGUAAAUUGGUACAGCCACUAUGGAGAAUAGUAUGGGGGUUCAUAAAAAAUUAAACAUGGAAUUAUAUGAUCAAUCAACUCCACCUCUGGAUAUACACACAAAAGAUUUGAAAGCAGGUUCUCAAAGAGAUAUUUAAAUCCAUGUUCAUAGGAGCAUUAUUCACAAUAGCCAAAAGGUGGAAGCAGCCCAAGUGUCCAUCUACAGAUGAUGGAUAAGCAAGAUGUGGUCCAUACAUACAAUGGAAUAUUACUCAACCUGAAAAAAAAACCUGUUACAUGCUACAGUAUGGAUGAACUGGGAGGACAUUGGGCUAAGUCAAUCUAGAGUAGUCAAAAUCAUAGGGACAGAGGGUAGAAUGGUGGUUGCCAGGAGCUAGGAGUAGUGGUGGGUGGGGAGUUACUCUUUAAUUGGGACAGAGUUUCAGUUUUGCAAGAUGAAGAGUUCUGGAGAUGGAUGGUGGUGAUGGUUGCACAACAAUAUGAAUAUACUUAAUAUCACCAAAAUGGCUAAGAUGGUAAAUAUUACAUGUUUUACCACACUUUAAGAAGUUGGAAAGAAAGUCAAGGCUGAAAAAUGGGCUUCC